rnacentral:rRNA from 1 species
GAUGAACGCUGGCUACAGGCUUAACACAUGCAAGUCGAGGGGAAACGACGGGGAAGCUUGCUUCCCCGGGCGUCGACCGGCGCACGGGUGAGUAACGCGUAUCCAACCUGCCUCUGACUGAGGGAUAACCCGUCGAAAGUCGGCCUAAUACCUCAUGGCAUCGUCUGCGGGCAUCCAACGACGAUUAAAGAUUUCAUCGGUCAGGGAUGGGGAUGCGUCUGAUUAGCUAGUUGGCGGGGUAACGCCCACCAAGGCGACGAUCAGUAGGGGUUCUGAGAGGAAGGUCCCCCACAUUGGAACUGAGACACGGUCCAAACUCCUACGGGAGGAAGCAGUGAGGAAUAGUGGUCAAUGGGCGAGAGCCUGAACCAGCCAAGUAGCGUGCAGGAUGACGGCCCUAUGGGUUGUAAACUGCUUUUAUGCGGGGAUAAAGUGAGGGACGUGUCCUUCAUUGCAGGUACCGCAUGAAUAAGGACCGGCUAAUUCCGUG